AACACACUAAGUGCGCGGAAUAUGGCGGAUCCAAAACUGAAUGCCGUGUAGGACAAUAUUCCGACAGAGUGUGAUCUACCCUCAAGCCUCAUCUAAAGGAAACGAAUAUAUUUACCUUCGGAGAGUGUCAGAAAUACAUUGAUGCAUAUGCCGUCACUGAAGAUAGAACGUGUGUGGAGCAGCCGACAACGAAGACCGAGCAACAUUUCUUAUAUGACAUGUCACCAAGUCGGCGCAUUACGGUGCAAAACCCAAGGACAUACUUAAAGUGGUAACAGGAGGAAAAUCAAUCAAACCAAGUGAAAGUACAAGACACUAUUACAAAAGGAAAGCAAAGGAGUCCAUAAAUUCAAUGUUGAACAUCAAGACAGUCUAAAAUAUUGAAUCCAAACAAAAUAUCAAAACUUUAUGAAGAAAUAAAUGACAAAUUGUCAUAUAAACAUGAAAGCAUUCUUAUAUAUGGUGUUUAUUCAAAUUAUUUCAACUGAAAUUUCUAAUGUACCUAAAUUCGAAAGGGAAACAACUUAUGAAAAAAUUAAACACCAAUGGGUUGAAUUGUGUAAUGAAGUUGUGUUGACAUGCAAAAAUACAUGUAUAAUGUGAUGCAUCAUAGAAUAGCUCAAAUGGUCUAUUUUAUGCAAGUUUUGGGCUCUUCACCCACCCCUUUUUGGAUGGAGAAGGUAAAUACACGAGUCACAACCCCUCCAUUCCCACCCUUAUAUUUUUUUCUGGAUCUGCCUCCGUUUUGUAAAUAUGUUCGUAACAAAUAUAUUUCUGUGCUCAUUUGUUCCUUUAUCAUGUUUAUGCCUUGUUUGGGGUUACACUUUUAAAAAAGUAUGACUUUGAAAUAAAAUUUUUAAGCUUCAAAGAA